rnacentral:rRNA from 1 species
CUACGUGCCAGCAGCCGCGGUAAUACGUAGGUCCCGAGCGUUAUCCGGAUUUAUUGGGCGUAAAGCGAGCGCAGGCGGUUAGAUAAGUCUGAAGUUAAAGGCUGUGGCUUAACCAUAGUACGCUUUGGAAACUGUUUAACCUGAGUGCAGAAGGGGAGAGUGGAAUUCCAUGUGUAGCGGUGAAAUGCGUAGAUAUAUGGAGGAACACCGGUGGCGAAAGCGGCUCUCUGGUCUGUAACUGACGCUGAGGCUCGAAAGCGUGGGGAGCAAACAGGAUUAGAUACCCUGGUAGUCCACGCUGUAAACGAUGUCGAUUUGGGGAUUGGGCUUUGAGCUUGGUGCCCGUAGCUAACGUGAUAAAUCGACCGCCUGGGGAGUACGGCCGCAAGGUUAAAACUCAAAUGAAUUGACGGGGGCCCGCACAAGCGGUGGAGCAUGUGGUUUAAUUCGAUGCAACGCGAAGAACCUUACCUACUCUUGACAUCCAUGAAUCUUGUAGAGAUACGAGAGUGC